GUACUCUCUCUCCUGGUACUCUCUCCCGGUACUCUCUCUCCUGGUACUCUUUAUGUACUCUCUGUCUGUACUCUCUUUCCUGGUACUGUCUCUCCGUCCUCUCUCUCCAUACUCUGUCCCCUUGUACUCUCUCCCUGUCCUCUCUGCUGCUGCAGCUGAGCCUGUGCCAGGAGGAGGACCCAGACCCUGCCCUCGGGCAUCCUGUGUUGACAAGGAGAAGGGGGCAAAAUGUUGGGCUGUUGGCCCAUGGGUCUGGCCACUCCUGCCUCACCUUCUCCACUUAAACUCUGCCCUCUGGCCAUGCUGUGCCCCACCUGGAACACACCUUUGCUUCUCACCUGUCUUUCAGGUCUCAGCCUGGAUCUCCAGCCAAGGUUCCCUGAGCCCCCCUGGAGUGAAAGUCCCUACUCUGCACUCUUGCAUGCUCCGUGCAUCCUCAUCUCAGCGCUGAUGACACUGAGCAUAAAGCCCGGUGUCUAACCCUCUCCUACUGACUCAAGAACUGAGUGUCCAGAGCUUCGGGGAGGAGUCCAACCAUGCGGUUGGUGACAGUGCCCUUCGGGCCUGCUCCAGAAGCACUGCCAGGAACAGCAGGCACUACCCCCCAGAGCAAGGGCACGUCGGGCAUCCAGAAACACGUGGCCCCCAGUGCAUCCAGCCUCAGGCCCCUGGGGGCGGGUGGGGGAAGAAGGGGCCCAGCCAGGCCGGGUGCAGCUCCUGCGGCCCUGCACUGGGACAUCGCCCUGGGGGCAGGCUGCCCCCAGCCCUCCUCACUUCCUCGGCCGCCCUGGAAUCAAACUGCUACUUCUCACAGGAUGGGGCUGGGGGGCUCGCUGGACGGCAGUGAUGAUCUCCAGGCUCAGGGUCCAGCCUGGACCAGGAGAGCACAGACAGAGAAGGGCCAGACAGAGGGGUGCACAGCACACGGGGCACGGCCUCCCUGGGAAGAGGGUGGAGAACGUGUCUGGAAGGCCUUGGUGGGCCUGUCCUGGCUAAGGUCUAAAGAGGGACAGAAAUUUGUCAAGGGAGCCAGGCGGGGAGCCGGGCAGGGUGGAGGGAGGAGGUGGACAGCACAGCUCAGCCGGAGGACCCGCCCCGGGCAGGGGGGACGGAGGUCCCCUACGGGCAGCUGGGAGGGCUGUGUCCCUGGAGGUCGGAGCAGUGCAUGGUCCACACACUGACCCCGGAAGCACCUGCGUCAGCCACCCGUGCAGCUGCCCACCAAGGCCCUGACUCCUGCCAGCAGUCCAGCCCUGACUUCCAAGAACAGAUGUGCGUGUGAGGGGCAUGGAACAUGACCCUCUUCUCUGACCUCAGCUCCCCCACUGGCCUGACCUCACGACUCCAGCCACACUGUCUCUGGGCAGACACUCCCACCUCCAGACUCCAAUCCUCGAGAUCCUUCCUGCCUGGGGCUCCCCAAGGAGGGGCCGACGCUGGCAGGGGCCAGCACCUGCAAACAGUGGAGUUUAAUAAAUACUCGUUAAAUGAAUGAAUGUAUCCAGAAGAACUUGAAGCCAGGCCCACAGUCACCGUUAACUAAGACAGGUCCUGGGGGUCUCAGAGCAGCCUGGAGGCAGGGUGUCCUGGGAGCCCAGCACCUCGCCCGUGGGUGCCCCGGCCUCCCUUCCACCCCAUGCCUUGGGUGAGCAGGAGCAGCAAAGCACCGCAUGUCCCUGGGACUCAUGGGCCCUGCCCAGCCCUCCAGCCUGAGGCUUGUAAUCCAUGCGGGGUCUGCGCCUGAAGGGACAGGUCUCUGGAACUGGGGAGCCCCCGGCAGGCAGCAGGCAGGGGAAGGAACUGGUCAGGUGGCCGCGGUCAGGGCAGCCAGACCCUAGAGAUGGCUGGGGUACCCAGGAAGGGCAGGGCAGGCCAGGCUUCCCAACAGUGCUGGACGCCCUGUUCCUUCCAGCCCCUGGCGGGGGGCCUCUCUGAACCUGUUUGGGGCAGCAGAGCAGGCCAGGCUCAGUACAGGAGCUCGGCCUGGGGUCCGACUUGCUGGGAAACCCUCAGAACCCUACCCUGGGAAGAAGGGCCUGGCCAUGCCCACUGGUGGAAGGUCUAUCCCUGCCGCCUUCCUGCAGGAGGAGAUGUUUCCCUGGCUCUUUAGGAAGCUAGAGGAUGUGGUCCUUUGCAUGGAGCUGGGAGAGACGCUGAUUUUGGGGCAGGGGUGCCUGAAUCUCAUGAGCCAAGGGCAGCCCUGCGGGGCUCCUGAGCUGGGGAGGGCCUGGGGCGUGAGGCUGGUCAGGUCCUGUGAGCACGGCUUGCGCUCUCCCUUCCCAGGACCCGCCCAGCUGAUCUGGGGCUCAGGAGAGUCCUAAGUGGUGGGAUCAGGGACGCACACUUCCUGUCCAGGAGCCACCCUGUCCAGGGCCCCAGCCAGCCACCGGCUCUGACACACACUCCCUCAGGAAAUCCUGGCUCCGGGGCGGCCCCUGGCUCAGGGAGGCUGGAGCCCCGGGGGGUGAGCCUCUGGGGAAACAUCCAGUGGUCU
rnacentral:lncRNA from 1 species